rnacentral:rRNA from 1 species
CCUACGGGAGGCAGCAGUGAGGAAUAUUGGUCAAUAGGCGCGAGCCUGAACCAGCCAAGUAGCGUGAAGGAUGACUGCCCUACGGGUUGUAAACUUCUUUUAUAAAGGAAUAAAGUGAGGCCCGUGUGCCUUUUUGUAUGUACUUUAUGAAUAAGGAUCGGCUAACUCCGUGCCAGCAGCCGCGGUAAUACGGAGGAUCCGAGCGUUCUCCGGAUUUAUUGGGUUUAAAGGGAGCGUAGAGGGGUUGUUAAGUCAGUUGGGAAAGUUUGGGGCUCAACCCGAAAAUUGCAAUUGAUACGGGCAGUCGUGAGUAGAGUGGAGGUAGGCGGAAUGCGUGGUGUAGCGGUGAAAUGCAUAGAUAUCACGAAGAACUCCGAUUGCGAAGGCAGCUUACUAAACUGCCACUGACAUUGAGGCUCGAAAGUGUGGGGAUCAAACAGGAUUAGAUACCCUAGUAGUC